GCCAGAGACUAGGUACUCAAUGAAGAAAA
rnacentral:piRNA from 1 species